GAUGAACGCUAGCUACAGGCUUAACACAUGCAAGUCGAGGGGAAACGAUAGAGAAAGCUUGCUUUUUCUAGGCGUCGACCGGCGCACGGGUGAGUAACGCGUAUCCAACCUGCCCAUCACUUGGGGAUAACCUUGCGAAAGUAAGACUAAUACCCAAUGAUAUCUCUAGAAGACAUCUGAAAGAGAUUAAAAGAUUUAUCGGUGAUGGAUGGGGAUGCGUCUGAUUAGCUUGUUGGCGGGGUAACGGCCCACCAAGGCGACGAUCAGUAGGGGUUCUGAGAGGAAGGUCCCCCACAUUGGAACUGAGACACGGUCCAAACUCCUACGGGAGGCAGCAGUGAGGAAUAUUGGUCAAUGGACGAGAGUCUGAACCAGCCAAGUAGCGUGCAGGAUGACGGCCCUAUGGGUUGUAAACUGCUUUUAUAAGGGAAUAAAGUGGGAGUCGUGACUCUUUUUGCAUGUACCUUAUGAAUAAGGACCGGCUAAUUCCGUGCCAGC
rnacentral:rRNA from 1 species